rnacentral:rRNA from 1 species
UACGGAGGGUGCAAGCGUUAAUCGGAAUUACUGGGCGUAAAGGGUGCGUAGGUGGUUCGUUAAGUCCGUUGUGAAAGCCCCGAGCUCAACUUGGGAAUUGCAGUGGAUACUGGCGAGCUAGAGUGCGGUAGAGGAAGGUGGAAUUCCCGGUGUAGCGGUGAAAUGCGUAGAGAUCGGGAGGAACACCAGUGGCGAAGGCGGCCUUCUGGACCAGCACUGACACUCAAGCACGAAAGCGUGGGGAGCAAACAGG